rnacentral:rRNA from 1 species
UACAGAGGGGGCUAGCGUUGCUCGGAAUCACUGGGCGUAAAGCGCACGUAGGCGGCUUUUUAAGUCAGGGGUGAAAUCCUGGAGCUCAACUCCAGAACUACCUUUGAUACUGGGAAGCUUGAGUCCGGGAGAGGUGAGUGGAACUCCGAGUGUAGAGGUGAAAUUCGUAGAUAUUCGGAAGAACACCAGUGGCGAAGGCGGCUCUCUGGACCGAUACUGACGCUGAGGCGCGAAAGCGUGGGGAACAAACAGG